UAAAAUUAUUCUUUGUAGAAAAGAUGUCUCGAAUUUUGGAGAGCUAAGAAGUUAUAUAUUUUAAUGUGAAAUAAUUAUUUAUAAUAAUUUUUUUGUAAUUAUAUGUUAGUCGUUCUAAACUAUAUCUAGUUUUUCCAGAAACGAAUUUAAUUCGGCCUAUGGAAUAUUGAAGUUUUUUGUUAAAUUAAUUUUUCUAUAGUUAAAUAACUAAGGGGAUAAGCUUUUAGUUAUAUUUUUAGAAUCAGGUUUAUUUUUUUAUUUUAUAGGAUUAGAAGUGUUCAUUAAUUGAAGUGUGUUAUAACAAUUUAAUUUUUAAUUUGAUUUUCUUUGAUUUUAAUGUUUUAUGGAAACAUAGGGUUGAACUUUUUUUAUUUAGAGUUUAUGAUAAAAUUAGUAUAAUUUUAUGUGUUUAUAAUUUUGUAAGGAGAGGUUAAAUAAAGGAAUUCGGCAAAUUACUCCUUGCCUGUUUAAUAAAAACAUGUCUUUUUGGGAUAAUUUAAAGUCUGGCCUGCCCAAUGAAUUUUGAAUGGCCGCGGUAUUUUGACCGUGCAAAGGUAGCAUAAUCAUUAGUUUUUUAAUUGAAAGCUGGAAUGAAUGGUCGGACAAGGGAGUUACUGUCUCUGUUUAAUUUUAUUAGAAUUUUAUUUUUAAGUUAAAAAGCUUAAAUAGUUUUAAGGGACGAGAAGACCCUAUAGAAUUUUAUAGUUUUAUUUAAUAUAAUUUUGUAGGUUAAUAUGUUUAUAUUUUGUAAAAUUGUUUUGUUGGGGUGACAGGAAAAUUUGUUAAACUUUUCUUUAUUAGAGUCAUUGGUUUAUGAUUGAUUGAUCCAUUAUUUUUGAUUAUAAGAUAAAAUUACCUUAGGGAUAACAGCGUUAUUAGUUUGGAGAGUUCUAAUCGAUAAAUUAGUUUGCGACCUCGAUGUUGGAUUAAAAUAAACUUUUGGUGUAGGAGCUAAAUAGUUAAGUCUGUUCGACUUUUAAAAUUUU
rnacentral:rRNA from 1 species